rnacentral:rRNA from 1 species
UACGGGGGGGGCAAGCGUUGUUCGGAAUUACUGGGCGUAAAGGCUCGUAGGCGGCCAACUAAGUCGGACGUGAAAUCCCUCGGCUUAACCGGGGAACUGCGUCCGAUACUGGAUGGCUUGAGUUCGGGGAGAGGGAUGCGGAAUUCCAGGUGUAGCGGUGAAAUGCGUAGAUAUCUGGAGGAACACCGGUGGCGAAGGCGGCAUCCUGGACCGAUACUGACGCUGAGGAGCGAAAGCCCAGGGGAGCAAACGGG